GACGAACGCUGGCGGCGUGCUUAACACAUGCAAGUCGAACGGAAAGGCCCUUCGGGGUACUCGAGUGGCGAACGGGUGAGUAACACGUGGGUGAUCUGCCCUGCACUUUGGGAUAAGCCUGGGAAACUGGGUCUAAUACCGAAUAUGAUCAUCAGCUUCAUGGUUGGUGGUGGAAAGCUUUUGCGGUGUGGGAUGGGCCCGCGGCCUAUCAGCUUGUUGGUGGGGUAAUGGCCUACCAAGGCGACGACGGGUAGCCGGCCUGAGAGGGUGACCGGCCACACUGGGACUGAGAUACGGCCCAGACUCCUACGGGAGGCAGCAGUGGGGAAUAUUGCACAAUGGGCGCAAGCCUGAUGCAGCGACGCCGCGUGAGGGAUGACGGCCUUCGGGUUGUAAACCUCUUUCAGCACAGACGAAGCGCAAGUGACGGUAUGUGCAGAAGAAGGACCGGCCAACUACGUGCCAGCCGCCGCGGUAA
rnacentral:rRNA from 1 species